GAUCCUUUAGCAAAGGAGACCUUGUGGUUGAAUGGAGGGGUGAUUUAAGAGGUGAAGCUGAAUCUGAGAGGAGGAGAUAAGGUUUUUACCCAUCAUGUGCUGCCUUUUUCUUUCUUUCCAAGUGGAGAGGGGAAGGAUGGCGAUAAGGUUUUAAAUCACACUUCAUCUCUAGUAUAUUCGUUGAAUUUGACAUAAGAUGGCAUAUUUUAAUUUCCCUCUUUCUCCUCACCAUUUUAAGUAUUGAUGCAUCCAGAGAAGAUGAUUCGUUUGUCCCCCUAGUGAUGAACCCAAACAUCUAAAUUCUCGCAUGAAUAAUUGAGAUGCAAGGAAGGCCACACCUAUCUUUUUACUCUAAAAGACAUAAAGGACGGUGAAGAACUUACUUAUGACUAUGGGGGGCAAUGACUGCCCAUGGCGGGUGCAAAUAUAUCUGAUAACUGCAUAGUAUUUAAGUCUUGGACUUGUGUAUAACAUUGUAUAUGAAGGUGUCGACACUGGUAUUUUCUCGUAUUUUGGAAAUUUGCGACAUAAUAUUAAGAGGGUAAUUAUAAUGUCAAACACAGGUUGACUCAUUAUUUGGAAACAGGACAGUAGGAUUUGAUUUCCUUUCCUCUGAACUGUGUUGUUUUGGCAUUUAAGUUUAGAGAUCCAUAAAAUGUCUUCAUGUAGUUGAAUAGUAUGUGGUUUUGACAUUACAUCGCCCUAAAGAUCUUUAUAUUUACAUUGUUUUGCCUUACAAAGGAUUUGGAUAGAAUUCUCUUCCAUUUACAUUGUUUUUCCUUACAAAUCCGUUGAUACUCAUGCUGUCACGAGCUCCCAUCCUUCUGUCACGUCUGACACUUCUCAACAGACUCCCAAGAGAGGAGAAGAACUAUUUUCCUCCAUGGUUUCCUUCCUCUGGAGUCGACAUGUUUCAUAAGUUCAACUCUGGAAAGAUGUACAAAACUCACUCUCCUCUGUUAGAAGGUGCCAUCCCCCUCCUAUAAAUCCUGUAAAAGACUCAUAGAGUGCUUCUUCCAGGGAGUUUUAUUGUAAUACAUGUGUUUUACUGUCUUAAAAGAAGGCUGUAGCUUCAUGUUGGUGAGCGCCUUGACUUUAGUGUAACAUCACAACUGUUCUGUGCAAUCCAGAUAAAAAUCUGUCAUUAACUGUUUUUUCAGUUAACGCAUUUUAAGUUAAUACAUCAUAGAUUUCCUGGUUACUUGACAAAAACUGAAAACCUGGCUGGC
rnacentral:lncRNA from 1 species